UACGGAGGGAGCUAGCGUUGUUCGGAUAUACUGGGCGUAAAGCGCACGUAGGCGGCGCAGCAAGUCAGGGGUGAAAUCCCGGAGCUCAACUCCGGAACUGCCUUUGAAACUGCAGUGCUAGAAUCCUGGAGAGGCGAGUGGAAUUCCGAGUGUAGAGGUGAAAUUCGUAGAUAUUCGGAAGAACACCAGUGGCGAAGGCGGCUUGCCAGAACGCGCUCGACGGUGAGGGAUGAAGGCUGGGGGAGCAAACCGG
rnacentral:rRNA from 1 species